rnacentral:rRNA from 1 species
UCCAAGUUUAAGUUUCUAAUGUUACGGGUUUAAGUGUGUAACGUAUGAAGCAGUAAAGACGUUUCCCUAGUCAGCGACUGUUCAGUACAUACCCAAACUGUGUUACUGAAGGUUUAAUGAGACAGUAUACGAGAAGGUUAUGCUUCAAAUCGAAAAAACCUCGGAGAAGGUAAGACGUCAUGGACGGCCGAGACUAGUUGUAUGGUAAGUAGAAAGGAUUAAUUUACGCACAAGUUGGAGUCAUGGGAGUUGUGGGAAAGAGACCGUUCUUUCUUGGACCGCUCACAUUAGAGGCCAUUCCAGGGAGCCAUCCUCAACUUUCAUUAUAAACUCUCUACGUCUAGGUCCGUAAGCUACACUAACAGCAAUAUUUGUAAUAGGUGGAUGUACGGAUAAUAAUAGAUGUUUUCUUCUCUUGCACAAUCACGGACGUACGUCAAAACUUGUGAUGAUGUUAGAGAUGAGGAUUACCUCGUCAACCAUCAGAGCGAAGGUCCAAAAAAAAUCAGGGUGGAGGAUACUAAAAAAACCAUGUAGGAGGGUGGAAACUGAAUCGGUGGUGUUUGGCUUUUUUGGAGCACGACUCUGGGGUUGGGCGUGGGUACGUGCAUGCUGGCUUUUUUCUGGAUGCUUCCAAUUGGUUGCUAUUUUCUGGAUGCUUUUAAUUGGUCGCUGUUUUUUUGGAUUUGGAUAGCGGGCGUGCAUGCUCCACUUCCUCGCUGCUGGGGACCUAGAUAGGCGCUGCGCUUGCGGCGGCGGACCGUCUAGGGUCCGCGAUCGGCGCCUAGGGAAACGGCCGAGGCUCCCCAGCACCUCCGCCGCGGCGGUAGCAACACCUGGAGACCCAGCGGUAGACCUGUGGAGACGACUCCAUGCGGAAGCGGAAGCGUGCGGCGGCUGGAGGGUCUCCUCUGCGGCGGUGCUAGACGCGAUUUGGGAUCCGUAGUUGGUGGUACGAGGGCAGGAGGCCAAGGAGGACGCAAGCGGUGGUACGCUAGCGGAAGGAGGGAGUCCAAGUAGAGGGGAGAAAAGAGAUAAAUCAAGUUCUGCCUCUCUUAGUCUAGUCCUAUCUCUCUACCUCUACUCCUAACUCCGGUACCCUAGGGAAACACUAACGUUGAAUAUGUACUCGAGUCAAAUCUGGGGAAACGAUCUUUUUUCUUACGACGUAUGUUGUUACUAGAAUAGAUCUAAUUACCAAGAGACUAAUAAGAAAACUAAGACUCAGUAGUUACACAAAAAUAACAUCCAAGAACAUGCCUUGUAUGGUGGUCUGGGACUACUUAGUCUAUCGUUCGGACACCUUGUAAAGAAGGAACAGUUAGUAGGACUAGUAGUAGACUUUGUAGUCCAUUAGUGAUUUAAAACCUUGUAGAGAGUAAACUUCUUAGUAGACGUUUAAGUUUACAUUCCUUCACACGUCACGUUCGUUAAUAGUCCCAUUUAGAUAAAGAGUUAAUACAUAAAAAUGGUGAAGUAGUCCUCACAUUUGACUAUCAUAAAGGUUGAUGUUUCACAACCGACGGGUCCUUCUUCCUUUCCAGUCAGGUCUGUACUGUAAAUUGAUAUUAUUACCUCCAUACAUCACGGAUGACGAGGGAACAGGGAACGAUGGCCGACCCCUACGAGCCGAGCGGUCGCUACCCCUACGAGCCGCCUGUCAGGGACGAGAGUAAAAGGAGGUCGGAGACCAUUGGGAGGAGGAGUGGACGGAGCGACUUCGCCCUAAGUGUCCAAUCAAAUCAAACCUCCCUAAAGGACACCAACACGCACUUAGGUCACAAGUGACCAGAACAUACAAAGUAAGGAUUAUACGAUCGAGGACGGAUUUGUGCGUAAUCUCUUAGAGUACAUACAUUGUCUUCUAUGUGUUUACACCAAAAGGUCCCUCGUAGUCCAUGUAGAAUACACCCCUACUUGGUAGUCGAUUUCCCUCACUAUCCUUUUAUAAAACAACUUACGUUACCCUUCCGCUUUUUGCUGUGCGGAACCGCUUCGUUGAGAUUCUAAGCCAUUCCGAUUAGUUCAGACGUUAGUUUAGGUUCUCGUCCCCGUCUCUUUUUGUAAUUUUAUGAAAAAUCCCGUCUCUUUGCAAUUUUAUGAAAAAUCGAUAACUAACUUCAUUGACCAUUAAUCAUCGUCCUCGUUGUUAACAUCAUUCUUGGAUGGAUCCGUAUAAAAGAGAGAAAGGAUAGUGUACCGUGUAACUUAUUGAAAUAUCAUGUUUAUGUAAGUGUAUACAAUAAAAUUUAAUAGUACACUACCUCCAAGAGCAAUAAAGCUUAGAAACCAGCCUUGGAAGUAAAACACAAUAAUUUACGUGUACCAUAAGUCAAUAGAGGUAAUACCACUCUUCUGAAACUAGAACUAUAUAGUCUAAAUUCGGAGGAUGUGGUAUCCUCCAGGAGGAAAACCACUAUAAGUGAGUAUACAGUAAGAUUUAAUAGUACAGUACCUCCGCUACCCAUAAAGUUUAGAAACCAACCUUGGAAGUAAAACGCAAUUUAAGUGUACCAUAAGUCAAUAGAGGUAAUAAUGGUCAUCGUUACGUGUUCGUGAAAGAUAAUUUACGUGUACGAUAAAAGAAAACAUAGUACAGUAAAACACCAGUAAUUGUUAGUCUACCUACUUUAACUAGAACAAAACACGUAGUACCUAAAAGGAGUUGACUUACUCAUCUUUGUAUUCACACAUUACAUCAUCGGGGAGAUAAGGUAACAAUAUUUAUAAUAUCAAAAAGUUAGAAGACUGGACUAGCAUUGUCGACAAAUUUUCCUUCACUAGUGUAGUGAUAAAUCUAAAAUGAAAAAACAUACGAAUUUGUAUUCUAAUCAAACAGGGGAAAGAAAAAUGGGAAGUACGAUUGUAUUAUUUAUGUAUAAACUUGACUUAGCCAACAUAAUGUAUACGGUGCUUCCUACAGCGACGAACUUCGAGUUAAAGGUAGUCGGGGAGAAAAUUAAGUGAACGUAACAAAGUCGAAACGUAACAUGAAGAAACUGCUUAAUGGAGUAGGUUAGCCGAAAUUAAGCCUCGCAGUCAGAAUGAUUAAUAGUAACGGAAUUGAAAAGUAUACUUGGAGAAUGUCCUUUGUUCCUGAGGAUAAACAGACAUCAUGACGGGUACUCUGAGUUGGAACAAAAUGGAAUUAAUAGUACCACACGGACAAAAAUCUUAUCGAGUGGUAAAACAAUCACCGUUAUUUUACGUAGAAAUCCGUGUGGAUAUCGCGUGUACACUACUACAUGUCUACUUUCUUUCUAGAAUCUUCAACUCUUCGGCUCUCGACCUCCUUAUUCCUCUUCGAUUUUUCUGUCUUCUUCAGUCUCGUACACCUCGACAACCCGUUCGUCUCAAGAUAGACCCAUAAAUCCAUCUACUCCUAUUUUCCCUUUUCCAUUUACAACUGCUAUAUCGAUGAGUUACGACUCUUACAACGGACGUAUGAAACAACGGAUAUAUAGUAACCGAAACAUAACUAGGUCCGUUCUUGUUAGUCUACCUUGUUCAAACGAUGCCCACCCACACGUAGUUCAACGAAGCAACGGCCGCCGCUCAUUAGAGUGUGUACAAAUACCACGUAUACAUGGCCUUUUAAGUUUACCAAGACUAGUAUGCAUGCUCCCCUUAGUCCUGCGUCACUGUACGUUCCGCUCCCUUUAACUUCGGUUUUGUACGUCCUGCCGGUCCUCACACGGUAAAAAAGAUACUGUCCAAUCACUAAAAUAG